CCUGUGGGAAGAAACGUGGGCUCUGGACCACCCUGGCCUGUCUCCAGAGGCGCAGCCCUGGCGGCACCAAAUCAGCACUCUCAGACAUGACCUCAGCCUGUGCCCUCACAGGAGGUCAGCCAGUUGGGAGAUCUCUGCCGUCUCAAACUCAGGGCCUUGGGGAGUGGUACUGGACCAAGCGCUGGCCCGAGCCAGAUGCGAUGGCUGGUGCCACAGCAGCCGCUCCGCGUCACCUGGAGGAACGCUCUGCAGAGGAUGGGAAAAUGCAAGCUGGCAGCUCAGGAGCCCUCCUAGGACCCCAAUCCCACUACACCGCUUGGGAAGGCAUCUGCUCCUUCUCCGUCCAAUGUCCUGGGGGAAGGACUGGCUGGGAGGAGUAGAGGGGGUGUGUGUGUGGCAUAAUCAGACCUCAUGAGAUGGCAGCAGACAGGUUCCACAGUCCCCUCCUCUGCUUGGCAGGCCCCAGGAAGGAGCUGAUAGGACUGAGCCAUCCCUGGGACCUCCUAGCACUUGGGAAUAUCACCCCAAGCCCCACAUCCACCCUGGAUACAUUUAGAUCCUUGGGUGGUUUGUAGAGAUAAACCCAUUUUCCAAGUCUUA